GGAGAGGUGACCGAGUGGUUUAAGGUGCACGCCUGGAACGCGUGUGUACGCAAGUACCGAGAGUUCGAAUCUCUCCUUCUCCGCCA
rnacentral:tRNA from 1 species